CACUCCUGCGGGAGGCAGCAGUGGGGAAUAUUGCACAAUGGGCGCAAGCCUGAUGCAGCGACGCCGCGUGGGGGAUGAAGGCCUUCGGGUUGUAAACUCCUUUCGCUAGGGACGAAGCUUUUUUGUGACGGUACCUAGAUAAGAAGCACCGGCUAACUACGUGCCAGCAGCCGCGGUAAUACGUAGGGUGCGAGCGUUGUCCGGAAUUACUGGGCGUAAAGGGCUCGUAGGUGGUUUGUCGCGUCGUCUGUGAAAUUCUGGGGCUUAACUCCGGGCGUGCAGGCGAUACGGGCAUAACUUGAGUGCUGUAGGGGUAACUGGAAUUCCUGGUGUAGCGGUGAAAUGCGCAGAUAUCAGGAGGAACACCGAUGGCGAAGGCAGGUUACUGGGCAGUUACUGACGCUGAGGAGCGAAAGCAUGGGUAGCGAACAGGAUUAGAUACCCUGGUAGUCCCAUGAU
rnacentral:rRNA from 1 species